AACAGCUGCCGCAGUGAAGGCUCCUGUCAAUGCGUGGAUUAGGGUCCUUCAAGAAGAAGAAAAAAUACAUCCGGGUGGAAUUGCUGUCAUCUCUCCUCCUGGGUCAACGAAAUGGGAUUAAGGCAAAUGAAGGGAAGUGUCAGUGAAUCAAUCUAGGAAGACGUUGUGAUGUGUGACCUGGAAGAACUUGCAAUGGAGUAUUCCUCCCCGCUCCACCUUGGCAUGCUGUUGUGAGAUAUGAUGACCCAUCAUUCCAAUUCGUGUCAAGUUAUGGCACGAUGCGAGCUGGAUCAGAAAGAACGAC